rnacentral:rRNA from 1 species
CCUACGGGAGGCAGCAGUGGGGAAUUUUCCGCAAUGGGCGAAAGCCUGACGGAGCAAUGCCGCGUGGAGGUAGAAGGCCCACGGGUCGUGAACUUCUUUUCCCGGAGAAGAAGCAAUGACGGUAUCUGGGGAAUAAGCAUCGGCUGACUCUGUGCCAGCAGCCGCGGCGAUACAGAGGAUGCAAGCGUUAUCCGGAAUGAUUGGGCGUAAAGCGUCUGUAGGUGGCUUUUUAAGUCCGCCGUCAAAUCCCAGGGCUCAACCCUGGAUAGGCGGUGGAUACUACCAAGCUGGAGUACGGUAGGGGCAGAGGGAAUUUCCGGUGGAGCGGUGAAAUGCGUAGAGAUCGGAAAUAACACCAACGGCGAAAGCACUCUGCUGGGCCGACACUGACACUGAGAGACGAAAGCUAGGGGAGCGAAUGGGAUUAGAUACCCCUGUAGUC